GUCUCCCCGGUGGCGAUAGAUUGUGAACCCGGUCAGGUCCGGAAGGAAGCAGCCGCAGCAGUUGAAUCGGGUGCCGGGGCGGGGCUGG
rnacentral:SRP_RNA from 1 species